AGCGAGUAUCUGAUGGUGCCAAAAUGAACCAUGCCUUUUGUGUUUAAAUUAGGCUAAUUACAUUUUUCUGUGCAUAUAGUACCUACAAGUACACCGAAUAGGAAGUUAAACAUGUGUGAAAUUUGAUGUCACCUUUGAAUUCACAUAUAUUCUCUUGAUUAAGCCACAUUGUGUUUGAUGUUGAAAUGUUAUAUUUUCAUUUAAAAAGUAAAUGUUCUACAUGUGCAGCUGUACCAAUAUUUUACAUUUUCUUGUGACAUGUGUAUAUGGAGGAAGUGCCAUUUAUGAUAUGUUGUCAUCAAUAAUUUUGUCACUGAGAAUAAAAGGCUUUAAACUCAUCCACCCACUGGAACGUUUUAUCAUAUUUAUUUUUAAGAGAUAUGAAAUUAGUGAACAAUUGAGCUCUUUAUAUGUAGGAGAUGCAAAUGUAACUGAAUUUUACCAUUAAUGAAGUGCAACAUAAAUAUCUCAGUGCCAAUAAAUUAUACAUAGCAAUAGUGUGUUCUAUAGAGAUCUAAUAAAUGGUGUUUUUUUUUUCCUAGAUCCUUUAGCUACAUUCUUUAUUAUGGUCUAAUUUACAGCCGAUGGAGAUAUUAAAUAUUGGUUAACUUUUUAGAGUGAUCUAUUGAAUUUGAAAAUAUUGUAUUUUGAGUAAGAGUAAAACAUCGUUCCAAAUCAUUACAUUUACUGAUUAAAUGCUCACUGAUUUUUAUCCAUCACUGUAUUCAACAAUUCAAGCAAGAGUUUACUACAGUAAUGCUUCAGUGGAUAAUAUUUGGAAUAGAGUAACCAUUUUAAUGAGGUUCAUCGAGAGAGAUUCAGCAGGGAGCAUUUCAGGUGUAUUAUGGCUUUUGUCUUGUCAUGAUGCACGUCUCUAUAACAUUAGAGAAAAGCUACAUAGCCCCACUCAUCUCAGUUAAAAAAAAAAUACAAAAGCCAAGACAAUAAGCAAAACCACAUUUUAAGUAACGUGUAAGUGAAAAGAUAGUAAGUAUAGGCGACACUGCAUGUUUUUAGGAAACUUGAUAAGUAAAUACCAUUUCUGUAGGUUAAAUUUCCAUCACAUUUUUAACUGUCCUAAUAUUGAUCACCCUAUAGAGGAAUGAGACUGAAGUCUGGUAGUUAUUAGUAUAAAGAGGGUCAGCUGCAGAGACUGGUACCAAGCAGAGGCUCUCAUGGUAAUGAUGCUGCUAUUUAUAGAUCCCCAUUUCAUUAGUUGCAGAGUUUCAAGGAAGAGAUUUUCUCUAGGGGAAAUGGAUACUUGAAGUUCAUUUUCUUCCUCACAUUAAGGCAGAAACGUGAACAACCUUCAGUAUAGGACAUAGGAUUACAAUAUUUUUACAGGGGCAGUUUAUUCCCUAAAUAUAUUUGCAACAGUAAAUGUAAAUUAAAAACAUAAUGUAGGAAUUCAGAAAUGUCCGUUGCCAUUCUGGCUGAGUGCUACUCUGUGUACAUUGUUUUAUUACCUUUCUUGCUAUAUUUUUCUUGUAAAAAUGAUUAAAAUUUCAGAAACUAUGCAAAGCUGAAAACAACCAUGGCUGUAUCCCGUUCUUCUAGAGUGCUUUAAGACCUGCAAAAGAGUUAACUGAUUGCAAGAAGAGUAAUUCCCCCCAAAAUACAGUCCACCCACAACGUGUAUCUGUAUAUAUUUGUAAUAUAGGUAAUUGUGCUUUGCUUCUCGAAUUCUUGACAUUUGAGUUAUUUUUUUCCCUUUAAGAGAAUAUUUACUUAGUUAGUAUUCACUUAAUUAGAACUGACUGUUUAAUGUUUUCUGGGAGGGUAUUUAUGGUAUUUUCUUUGCUAUAUUUGCAUUCCAGAAAUUAAGUCCCCCUGCCAUUAUUCGGCGAGCCUUUCAUACAUUAGAAUGAUGAAUUGAAAGCAGAAAUGGGAAAAAGACUGCAAUGCAAUGAAAAUUUAAUCAGCGUCUUCUGCUGCUUUAAUAAGGCAAAUAAUUCUUAUUGGCCGCUGUGUUAAGGUUUCUAAUAUUUAAUUCAUAACAAACCUUGCAUUAUUCUGCAGUAGCAUCGACAGCUCCACUUUGCUGCCUGCCAACAGGCAACCAUAAAAACUUAAAAGCAGAUGUAAAUGUCUAAAACAAGGAGAAUGAUUAGAUCUAAAGCGGUCAAAAAAAUCAACAAUAUUGUGAAAGAGUUUGAUGGAUCUCUAUAUUUAGUGAUGCAAAAAUGAUCUUAAUUAAACUCACUUGAGCAGAUUUUUGUUGGAGUUGGAGGUAACCUUUUACAAAGCAGAGCCUGUAGUGCCUGACCAAAGACUCCAAAGGAAAGCAAAUGUCCAUACGGUGUUGGUAACAAGCCUCUUUAAACUGGACACCAACUCUGCCGUUAACGCUGGAAGUAUCUGGUUUAUAUUCCUGUGUAUAUGAAUUCUUCCAGGAAAUACAGUGCUAAAAUUGAGCUAAUGGAAUUAAACAUUUUGUCUUCAAUCAACCAAGUUUGAGAAAAGCAGUCGCUUUUGGGGUCUCUCUAAUUUGUGCCUGAAAUGCCUUUAAAAAAUUUUUUUAUCGCAGAAUUAAAGAGAAUAUAUGUUUUCAUUUCCUAACCUGAAUGUAAUGAUUCUGUAAAUAAUAGCAUUCAUCUUUCUAGAUUACCAUCUAGAUUAUCCUGGUCUUUUGUGUUAGGUUAUGUUGGGCACUAAGUUUGAACCUGAAGAAAUGAACAAAAAGCUACUGUUACCGAUUACAUGUAAACAGCCUGAAUCAUUCAAAAGGAUGUGGAGAAGAGUAUUUCUAUAGUGUGAAGCUAGAGAAAAUGGCAACCUGCCAAAGCUAGGUGCAAGCUCUUGUUACAUGGAAGGGUUGGGCCUGUUCUCAUUUCUUCUUGAAAUGGCUUAAUUGGUGUCAGCACCCCAGGGAUAAAGGCCUCUAACACUGAAAUCCACACGAUUCACCCUGUCUCUGCUCAGUGUAGGGAAACUGGUAACAACUGGUGGUGAAUGAGGAGUGAACGGUGCUGUAACAAUACUCGAUGAUGUUUGGGAUGACAGAAAUUAAUACGCACUUGCUUGAAGAAAGCAAUGAUUAAUGGCAGUGAGCACGGGAACGCUGUCCCUCCUUUUACUCCACUUUGAUGGGGAUUGAAAAGCAAAAGGCUGUUUUCAUUCUCCGUAGAAAGCAGAGGUCACACAGAGUACAUUAUAGCAAUUUUUCCUCUCUGGUUUUUUUAUUUCAUAAAUAUUAUGAUAAGCAUAGAUUAGAUAGAUUUUUUUUUAUGAAAGCUUUAAAGGAUAUUUUCUGUCACUUAAACAUUGUUGUUUAUGCAUAGAGAAAUCACACAUUCUUCUCUUCACUUGUUAGAUCAUUUCCCUCCAUGUCAGAAUAAUUAGUGUAAUUAGGAAUUAAAAAAGCCCACAAACAUGCAGUUGUAUUAAUAAUGCUGCUUACCAUUUUGUAACUGGAAUCAAAAGGGCUUCGUUUUCUAAAGACUGCUGGUGGAGGAUGGGGAUAGGACUCUUGCAGGGGCUUUCACCUUUUUUCUGCCCCUCCCCCGUUUUCUCAGUGAAUGUUUGACGUAAAUAUAUUUUGCAAGGUACUUGCACUUGUCAGCAGCUUUCUUAGCCAUUUGAUAAAGAUUCUUUAUUCUACAAGAAAGCCUGAAAUAACAGAACUGUACUUUGGAUAAUGAAUUCUUCAUCUGUGGAGAACUUUAAAACAAAGUACAGUGUUGGCAUUUUUUUCUUUUGAGUGAGAAGGCUGAUAUAUCUUUUGGAUCCGACAGGAAGACAUAAAUUAAUAGAGUUCUGGAGUUCAGUUUCUCAUUAAUAAUCCAUUUUGUCAUGGUUCUUGGCAUUGUCAGCCUAGUAGCUGGUUCAUAUUUUGCUAAAGGAUAAAAGCAGAUUAUGUCUUAAGGCACAAAGCAAGAAUAAAGAGUUUACCGCCUUUUAGGGGAAACUACAUGCUAUAAGAAAAAUAUUGUUUUGCAAAAAGUUUCAAUUUUUAGUUAGAAAUACACUGUACAUUUUUCAUAGGUAAAGCUUUUGUUUUAAGAUCUGAAAUGGUUCUUGGAACCUUAGGACAUUAGAGUGUUAGAUCAUUCCUUAGAGUUGCCCUUGCUGAUUAUUUGCAAAGGUUUGUUUUCAGGGACAGUUACGGUAGGUAGACUUAAGCCUAUUUUUACAUUUUGUUUUUAGAACUCAUAGAUUAGGAUAUAGGAUAUAAAGAUAUAAUUAUGGUUCAAAAAGAAAUUCAGAGAAGUCACUAUUCCUCUCUUUGUACUGGUAGUUCUGGAUAUUCUGUUAGCCCUGCCUGGUUUCGUAGACAUGGGAUCCUUGACAGCUACUGUGAAGGUAGCAGUUUUUAACCAUCUAAAAACAUCCAUUCAAUAAAAUAAGAUAGGGGCGCCUGAGUGGCUUCGUCAGUUAAGCAUCUGACUCUUGAUCUCAGCUCAGGUGCCCCUGUGUAUGUGUGUUAUUUGUAUUGCAGACCUUUUACAGGCAUGUUCUUAGAGGUAGACAACUGAAAAAUAUGUUCAGUCUUUAAAACUUGGGAUUUGUGUUGCCAUUCCCAGUUAUCCCUAAUUUUGUUUGUUCUUUUUAAAACUUACAAGUAACAUAUGAGGGGUGUACAAAAUCUCUAGAUAGCUACGUGAAAGCUAUGCAAAAAAGAGAAAGGUCUGUCUGGGUUAUAAGAUAAAGGAAGGAGUAUUAAAUUAUGACCUAAUAGGGAAAAUAAUGGGAGAUUUUAUUUAUCUCUACUUAGAAGGGCUUAUUAUUAUAAUUAAGAAAUCUUGGUGCUUUCUGGGUCAUUGAAGUUCAUUGGAUAAAAGUGAGCUAAGUUGAUACAGGUAGUGGUAUGCUACAAAGAUUCAUUUAGGAGUGGUAGGAUUUUUUUUUUUUUUUUUAAGUUUCCAUUUUCUAGGACAUUGUAAGCUCCUAGAGGGCAGAAGUGGUCUAUUUUUUUUUUUUUAAAGCACACACAGUGUGCUCAAUAACUUUUUUUAUUUUUAUUUUUACUUAUUUAUUUCUUAAGUUUUAUUGAAAUCCAAGUUAGUUAACAUAUAGUGUAAUAAUGGUUACAGGAGUAGAAUUUAGUGAUUUAUCACUUACAUGUAACAUUCAUUGCUCCUCCCAACAAGUGCCCUCCUUAAUGCCCAUCACCCAUUUAGCAUCAAUAACUUAUUUUUAAAUAAAUAAGUAAAUGCCUUCUCCAUACAUUAUCUGAUGUGUAUCUGCUGAACAUUUUAUUGCAUUUAUUUGUUUACUUACUUAUUUUUAAAUGAGCUCUGUACCCAGUGGCUUGAACUUACUUUACUACCCAGAGAUCAAGAAUCGCAAGCUGUACUGAGCCAGCCAGGUGCCCCUCUGUUGAAUAUUUUAAAUCUGAUACUACAUUCUUCUAAUCCUUUAUGUAGAAAUUUAUCUUAACUGUAAUAACCAUAUACAAUGUAAGAAAACUGCUGGAGCUACUUACCUGGAUCUUAAGUAAUUUAUAUGCAAAUUACAUGUAAAAGUAAUUUGUAUAUAUUAUUACUUCUCCCAUUACUAUCAUUAAUGAUAAUAUAUGCGAAAAAAAGAAAAAUUUAUGGUGAAACUCCUGUUAACAUGCUUGGAAUUAAAUAUUCACCUUUGAAGUUUUUACUUUAAAACUAGAUUUGAGGGGUGCCUGGGUGGCUCAGUCGGUUAAGGGGCCGACUUCGGCUCAGGUCAUGAUCUCGCGGUCCGUGAGUUCUAGCCCCACGUCGGGCUCUGUGCUGACAGCUCAGAGCCUGGAGCCUGCUUCAGAUUCUGUGUCUCCCUCUCUCUGACCCUCCCCUGUUCAUGCUCUGUCUCUCCCUGUCUCAAAAAUAAAUAAACGUUAAAAAAAAAAAUUAAAAAAAAAACUAGAUUUGAGAGCACCUGGGUGGCUCAGUCGAUUAAGCAUCUGACUCUUGAUUUUGGCUCACGUCAUGAUCUCAUGGUUUGCAAGAUUGAGCCCCAUGAUGGGCUCUGUGCUGACAGCAUGGAGCCUGCUUAGGAUUGUCUCUCUCCCUGUCUCUCUACCCCUCCACCCCAAAAUAAAUAAACUAAAAAAAACCGCAAAAAACCUAGAUACGAUAAUAAGCAACUAUUUCAUAACUAGGUUUAUGGUUUAAGAUUUGUUUCUCUAUAGAGUUGGGAAGGACAUUUGUUUCAGUAUAAUGCAGUGAAAUCUUAAAGAGUAGAUUUUGACAAGAGACAUUUUGCUGACACAGAAUAUUUUGUUCAUUUUGACUCUCAAAUAAGUUCUUCUGUCAUAAUGAUUGAUUUAUAUUCAUUUUAGACUGUACAGUUUCAUAACUGAGUUUUCUAUCUAUAAGGUACAAAAAUCUCUGUUUAAGUUAAUGAUUAAAUAAUUAUCUUCAGAGGUGACAGAUUGGUCACAUGUAUUUGACUAGUCCAAAGAUUAACCUAAGAUUAAAUAAAAAUGUACUAUGAUUAUGAGUUAUUAAAAUGAGUUCUAGUUUUAAAAUUAUUAUGAUUGGGAGUAAAGUUUCAUUUACUCAGUUGCUGUAGUUUUGUCCUUUAGACUUAAUUUUAAUUACAUAAGUUAUCAUUGUUGAACUAUUUAUUUCUUGCUUUGAACCAUCCAAGGAUCUGUUGCUACUCAUCAGGUGGAACAUCUGGGGAAUUGUAUUUUGUGUCCACUUUUUUUUUAACUUAACUAUAACCUUUAGAGCAAUUUGAAAUAGUUAAAAAACAAGACCCUGAAUAUUUGUAAUGAAAAGCCAUUGGAUGUAAUUAUGUCAUGGAUUUUCUAAAUUGCAGUACCAAAAGACCAUUUCAAAUGACAAGUGAAUUUGGUGAAUUGGGGUAUAUGUCUAAAUAAGCUCAUUGCUGAAUAUUUUGCUUCAUGAAAAUCAUUAUGACAUGGAAGGCUUACAACUAUUUGAUGAAUAUUUUACUCCUAUUUGUUUUUAUUCUUAAAAAGCCAAAUAAUUUAAAUAUCUGUUAUUUCUUCCAUCUACUAGUUAAUAAGUCAUAACUGCCUUUCUCAAGUACCCAUGUUUGUGGUACUCCAGAAAGCUGUAGAGCAGCAAGUUUUAAGUCUUUUCUGGUUAUACUUUCCUUUGUGAGUCUGUGAAAGCAAUGGAUCCAUUGCCCACUUACUAAAAAAACUCACCUGCUCAUAGAAGUUUGAAUACAGUUGCAGGGAGUUUAUAGACACCUUGAAAAUCCUAAUGGCCCUCAUGCAGACCAUGGCCCUCAGUUUAAAAACUGCUUUUAUAGAGGUUGGCUUUUUUUUUUAAACCAUAUUUUGUCCCAAUUUGUAAUUGCAAUCCAUUUUCUUCUUGGAAGCCUAAUGGAUUUACUUUCUGUCUUUUUUUUUUUUUUUAAUGUUUAUUUAUUUUGAGAGGGAGAGAACGCACGAGUGAGGGAGGGGCAGAGAGAGGGAGAGAGAGAAUCACGAGCAAGCUCUGCACAGUCAGUGCAGAGCCCGAUGCGGGGCUUGAACCCACAAACCCGUGAGAUCGUGACCUGAGCCGAAGUUGGAUGCUUAACCAACUGGGCCACUCAGGCACCCCUGGAUUUACUCUCGUCCUGGUGGUUCUACAAACACCGAGAGGGCCAUUGAUCUCUGAGUCUAGUGAACGCUUGGUUGUAUUGAGGGGAAAGAAUCAGGAAUAUGAAAUAGAACAGUUCCAUGAAAGGGAAGAGCAAGCUAGCAGUGAGCCUUGGAUGCUGGUAGACCUGGAAAAAAAGGACAGGGAGUUAGGAGAGGGAAAUCUGAAAUUUGGGAUGUGGGUUGUUGAGGGACUUAUUUGGCAAUUAGCAUAUGUUCACCUGUAAUAAAAAAAAGUAUUGGUUUAUAAUGUAGGUAGUAUAAGCUCCUUGUGAGGAAGGGAAUUUGUCUUAUUGGCAGCUCCUUUGCUUACUGGUGCUUUAUUAGGGAUUCAAGUUUUGCUACAUGGUAGAAUUCCUUUAAAAUAUAUGCAGUUCUUGUAUAUAUAAAUUAAGUAAAUUAUUUCUUGGGUAGGAAACUGCAUUUAAUAUAUUAAACUUACCUAAAUGGAGACUUUUGAGAAUAUCUAUGUCAGUGAUUCUCAAGCUUUUUGAUCUUGGGACCCCCUUACACUCUUAAAAGAAUGUUUAUUUAUUUAUCAGUAUAUAUUGCGUUAGAAAUUGAAACAUUUAAAAACAUUAAGUUACUUUACAAAUUAUAAACUUGUUACAUUUCUUUUUUUUUUUAAUUUUUAUUUAUUUGAGAUAGAGUGCACAUGUAUGCAUACAUGCAAAUGGGGGAGGGGUAGAGAGAGAGGGAGAGAGAGAAUUCCAAGCAGUCUCCGUGCUGUCAGCUCAGAGCCUGACCUGGGGCUCAGUCUCUCAAACCGUGAGAUCAUGACCUGAGCCAAGAUAAGGAGUCUGAUGCUUAACCGAUUAAGCCACCCAGGCAUCCCUGUUAUAUUUCUUUUUAAAGAUUUUUGUUUUGGGGGCGCCUGGGUGGCUUGGUUGGUUAAGCGUCUGACUUCGGCUCAGGUCAUGAUCUCACAGUCUGUGAGUUCGAGCCCCGUGUCAGGCUCUGUGCUGACAGCUCAGAGCCUGGAGCCUGUUUCAGAUUCUGUGUCUCCCUCUCUCUCUGCCCCUUCCCUGUUCAUGCUCUGUCUCUCUCUGUCUCAAAAAUAAAUAAACGUUUAAAAAAAAAAAAAGAUUUUUGUUUUUAAGUGAUCUCUGCACCCACUGUUGGGCUCGAACUUACCAACCCUGAGAUCAAGAGUCCCAUGGCCCAUCCCCUGACUGAGCCAGCCAGGCACCCCAUAAACUUUUACAUGUUAUCCUGAAUAGUAUUUUCCAAAACAAAACAAAAUGGUAAGAAGAAUGGCAUUAUUUUACAUUUUUGCAAAUCUCUUUAAUGUCCGGCUUCAUAGAAGACAACUGGAUUCUCAUAUUUGCUUCUGAUUCAGUCUGUUGCCAUGUGGGUGAUGUAUAUGAAGAGAUAUUUGACCUAAUGUAGAUAUACACAUGGAAAAUGGAAGAGUAUUUUAACAGCCAUUUCCAGUCAUUAUGGACGUUCUUUUUUUUUUUUUUUUUUUAACCGUUUAUUUAUUUUUGAGACAGAGACAGAGCACGAACGGGGGAGGGUUAGAGAGAGGGAGACACAGAAUCUGAAACAGGCUCCAGGCUCUGAGCUGUCAGCACAAAGCCCGACGUGGGGCUUGAACUCACGGACCGCGAGAUCAUGACCUGAGCCGAAGUCGGCCCCUUAACCGACUGAGCCACCCAGGCGCCCCUGGACGUUCUUUUUUGAUACUUACUGCUCCAAAACUUGACUAGUGGUAGUUUCUUAAAAGUUAGUUCGAAUGUGGAAUCUGAGGCCACAUUUCAAAACUUUUCUGGUCUGUUUCAUUAAAAUUUGUUAGUCUAGUUUGCGCUUUGAUGGCUCUUCUACCCAUGCGUGAUUUUGUAACAUAUGUCUUGGUCAUUUGGAAAAUAUUGAUUCAUUGAGUUAUGUUUAUCUUCCAAAUGUUAACACAUUUCAUUAUAUAAGAUCAAAAAAAUUACAUUUGUUAAUAUUACACCAAACUUACCAGAAAAGUUUUUAAGUACUGGGAAGCUGUAAAACUCACAGUGGUGGACAUAACAUAGUGUUUCAAAAUUCUAAUUUUUUCACUAAAAAGCUUGAAUUUUAUCAGUGCCAAAAACUGUAGCUGUUUUCCUUGAAGUUCAUUUUCCAAAAAUACGUCUGCCAAAUAUCUAAGUUGAGAUAACCAUAGUUUGUUAGUCAUUUGGUUUUUAAGCAGCUAGUGCAGCUUGGAACCCAAUUACACAAGUGCUUUUUCUUAUACUUAGUAUGCAGGGGCAGUGUUUUGUGUAUAAUUCCUAUUUUGUCACACAGAAUGUUAAAAAGACAUGUACUCAAGGUAUAAUUAAAUGAAUAAUUUUUAUCAUCUCAUCAAGGACAUUCUGAACUGAAAUUGGCCUUUUUUUUUUUUUAAACUUCAGUGUCCAGUGGUGAAGAAUACAGUGACUGCUAGUAGAGUUUGGUGCCCCUGCCUUGCUCCGUGCUAAGGCACCAAGAGUUUCACUUACCUUUGCUUGUAUACCAUCAGUGCAAAUGAAAACAGUGAACAAGGGCCAUAACCUCUUAGUAUUGUAAAAAUAAUUUUGACUUUGUGGUCUCCUGAAAGGGUCUCAGGAAACUCCAAGGAUCUUUGCAUCACCUUUGAGAAAUAAACUACAUAUAAAAUAUAACUUGUCUGAAGAUCAUUAGUUUAUCUUUAUUUAUGUACAAUAUCUGCAUGGAAAGAUGACCUGAAAAGAAAUAGGUUUUUAUUAUGUUACCCCUGAAGGUAACAAUACAUCUUUAAGCCAUUAUUGUGGCCCCCUGGGAGUAUUUAUGAAGUGCCUAUACAAGUAUGAUGUUCUGCUGAAUAAUCUUCAAAGUUAAGGCAACUUGGCCUUUGUAAAGUGGACCCUAUAAUCAUUCUUGACUGCACACACAAUAGCCAAAAAGGACAGAUCAACAGAGGCACUUGGUUGAGUCACAGUUUUCCACACAGAUCUAGCAUAAGCUUCCUGGGGUCUGAGCAAGUUGCGGAGUGAUUAUUUACAAAAUAAAAGUUGGACUAGGUGAUUUCUAAGGUCUCAUUCAGCUUUAAUAUUUAAUAUGUAACUGUGUUUUUAAAAGCAGGAUUGGCUCAUUUAAUCAAAUUGGUAUAAUUUGUGUUAUUGUCAUCACAUAGGUUACACGUUAACGUUGUUUUCACAGUACUACAAUAUGGAAUGUACUGUAUAAAAGAGGAAGUAGAGGGGGCUUGUAAAUGGAGAAGGCUUCUAGAAGCAAGUGUGUUUUAAGUGGCAAGGAAGAAGAAAUUGAAUGGUAAGGAGAUGCACAUUGCAAGGUAUUUAACAUAGCUCUGAGGAGUCUUUGUACUCUUCGCUAGGAUUACAGAGAAGGAAAAUUUGAGCCUAUCAGUUGGAGAAUCUGAUACUGCCAUAUGUAGUAUGAACCGUUGAAAAAUCUCCAAAGUAAAAAGUGGAUCAGAACAUAAGUAAGGUUGAUUCUGAUGUUCUCUUACCUCCAUUUGUUACAUUUUGACCAGAGAGCCGUAAUUUGUUUUGAAGGGGCAAACAGUUAAUUCAGGCUUUUAAAAAUACUUUUUUUGCUUUCCAAUUAAAAAAAAGCCAUUACCUUAAGAUGUUUUAUGGUCUUCCUUUUUUUUUUUUUUUUUUUUAAUAAAUUCUGCACCCAACGUGGGGCACAAACCACGACCCAGAGGUCAAGAGUCGCAUGCUGUACCUAUGCACCAGCCAGGUGCCCAUAUGACCUUCCUUUUGACAUUCUGUAAGGAAGAAAUAAUACUGAGUUGAGUAAAAGUGUCCCUCAAUCUCAGGUUCAUACUCAGUUCAGCACAGUGUCAAAUUCCUUUUUGUAAAAAAGUGCUGGUUGGUGGGACUCAGUGAAUCCUGGGAAGGUGCUGUUUAGAUCCUUAAAAAGGAGAGAGGGCUUCUGUAAGGCAAUUUUGUGUUCAGGCACAUCAAAGUUGGAAGGUGGAAAAGCUGCUAUUGUGGCAAUAGUUAAGGAGAAAAGACUCCAGAGACUAUGUAUUUGGGAAAUAUUUGACAACAUUAGCAACAUCAACUGCUGACAAAAAAAGAACCACCUCUUUGGCAAAUCUUUCACAGUUGUGCCAAGAAAAGCAGCUUCAUUGGAACAUUUUCAUAAACUAUCAUCAGUUAUGCAGCGGCGGCUUCACAAAUCAGAAAUGAUAUCUUCAGGCGCUGCUGUCAAGUGUUAUUCAAAUAAUACCAGCCUCACAUUUGAAUAACAGCAGACAUUUUGAAUUAAUUAAUCAGAUGAGAUAGUCUAGGCCUUUUCUCAUUAGUCUCUGGGUCAGGCUUGGGAAGAUAUAUGCGUUGGUGAUGAUAUACUUGUCUUUAAUCGUGAUUUAUGAAGAUUUAGGAUUGUGUGUGAUUUGUCAAAGGUUCUGGGAAAAGGCUGGUGCAUAUUUCAUUACCUAAUCUGAGAUUGAUUUUAUGAUGCUAAGAGAUAUCACACUAUUGUUCAAAUGUGUGGGAAGUACAGGUAGACACAGCAUCUCAGGCUUUUUACUGGCUUAUCUUUGCAACUGUCAAACAAUGCUGUAAACUUUAACUGCUUGUAGUUAACAAUUCCUGCUUUAAUUAUAGGCAGAUUUUUCAUUCUGUCCAAAGGGAGAAGUUUCAGUGGAUAUUUAGCUAAAAUGCAUAGCAGACAUUAUAACUAUGACCUGGUAUGAAUCAUGGACAAAGUUGGUAAAUUUCAUGGGUUGGUCAUGGUGAAAAUAUAAAAUUUCAUGGCUUGUCAAAGAUUAAUAGAAAAAUCCCAUUAAAAUGGUACAAACAAUGGAAGGACAACAAGUAAGGUUGCUCUCCUUACAUGUUACCUUUUCUCUCAGGACUAAUUUUAGCAAAAUUGGGGUGUAAAAUCGUGUUUUUGUCAGUUAUUCAAGCAACAUUAGCAACCUACUAUUAAAUGAAAUACUUUAUGUGCUUGGUAUAUAUUAUGGGUACUGAAUAUUUGAUCAUUUUCUUUUCUCCUUUUUACCUACUUUUCUUCCUUUCCAUUUGAUGUUUGAAGCUUUGUCACCAUUGUUUAACCUUUACGUUCGUAACAGUUUGAAUUUUUCAUUCUUCUGGGUCUUAAGUUUUUGGAGAAUGUUUUAUUUUGGGGUGAGGAGUGUAAGCAUGCUAACAGACUGCAUGACCAGGGGGAUCUAGUAUGAUACAGAGCUCAUGUUGCGUCUGCUUGUACAGUGUGUGUUAUAGUAGGGCAGUAGGUGGUAGAUACAUGAGAAAUCAAAUAUUAACUUCUAAGUACAUAUGAAGCAUGUACUCCCUAAUUCAAAGUGGAUCUUUCUGCACCAUCUGCCUCCUGAGGGCAGAUACAUGUUUGUGAUAAGGAGUGUGUGUUUUUCAUAACAUUCUCCAGCAAACUAAAAUGUAUAUUAUGUGAAGAAUUAGCAAAUGGUAAGGUGAUUUUCAACACUGUCAUACAAAAUAAAAACUUUACUUUUCUUUCCCAUUUUAGACAGAUGAUUGACAAGGAUUGUUUUAUUGGAAUGAUUAGACUAUUAAUAAGUAUUAGUUCUUUUGUCCCCAAACUUCUUUGUUUUGGGAACUGGAGUAGUACUCCUAAAGCAACGUUUGGCGCGUCUUAACACAAUUAGAGUCAGUUCUAAUUGAUGUUCACUUUGGGGAAGGCAGUUUAUAAAUAAUAAGAUGCACUAAUAUUUGGAGAGAGAGGAUAUUUAAGAGUAGUUUGGGAGACAGCUUGAUGCAGUAGAAAAAUAGUGGUUUUGGAAUCCAACCGAUCUGAGUCCCACUUCUGGAGCUGCUACUUAAUUGAUUUGUAACUUCGGCAAGUUACCUAAUGUUUCCUGAGCCUUAGUGAUCUUUUUCCUGAUGUGACGCUACUAACACUAGCUUUCACGGUGAUUGUGAGAAUGAGAGGUGAAUGUGUACACAGCACCUAAUGUGGUAUCUGGGGUAUCAUCGGUGCUUAAUAAAUCACAGCUGUUGCUGUUAUUUAAUAUGUUCAUUUAUUUCUUCAAGAAACAUGUAUUAAGGACUCAUUAUAUGUUAGUAACAUAAGUAAGGCAUCAGAAAUACAAAGCAAAUUCGCGCUGGUGAGAAAGAAGAGUGAUACGUGAAAAUUUUAAAAAGCUGAAUCAUCCAGUAAGAAGAAGAGGCGGAAGAUGAGACAGGCAAGGAUCUCAUCAAUGAGGCUUUAAUUCUGUGUGGGGAGUAGCGUUUUAUUUUGUAUUUUGGGUAGUUAUUGAUAGAUUUAAGCAAGAGAGUGAUAGGAUCAGAUUUUUUACAUAGUUCACUUUGGAAGCUAUUGGAAGGAGCAUAGUGGUUAGGUGGCUUCUGCAGGUCAGUAAUGGGGUGUACUUUCUAGUGGGUAAUAGCAGGGAUUAAAAAAGAGGGAACAAUGGUUUGAAUAAAACUAAAACAAGAAAAACAAGGAUUAGGUGAGUGAUUAGAAUUUUUUGUCUCCCUUCGCUUGUCUGACUCAUCCUAUGUAUCCUUAAGAACUUAGUCUGGGUGCCCCUUCCUCCAGGAAACUUUUUUGAACUUCCUCAAGUCUGUGUUAGUUGCCUAUCUCAUGUGCUCCAAUAGCAUGCUAUUUUUUCCCUUCUUACUGUACUUAUGACACUGUAUUUUAUUUUAUUUUUUUAAUUUAUUUUUUAAAAUAUUUAUUUAUUUUUGAGAAAGAGCCUGAAUGGGGGAGGGACAGAGAGAAAGAGAGACAGAGAAUCCCAAGCAGGCCCCACGCUAUCAGUGCAGAGCCUGAUGCAGGGCUUGAACCCACGAACUGUGAGAUCAUGAUGUGAACCAAAAUCAAGAGUCAGCCGCUUAACUGACUGAGCUACCUAGGCACCCUGUGUCACUCACUGUCUUUAAUUUUAUAUUGCCUUCAGUACAUUGUAAACUCUGUAAGGCAGAGGUACUAUGUAUCGUUCAUUGUUGUGUCUCCUAGCACAUGGCAGGAAAUAGUCAAUGUCACUUUGUCCAAAGGAACUGAAUGUAGUCACUGAGGGAGGAGAAAACAUGGGUAUUUGUUAGUUUCUAGUAGGUAACCAGGUGAGUGCUUGUCAUCAACGGAGAGAGUUAGUAGAUUGGAAUUGCAGGGUCAUGGGGUAUGUUCAUUAUCAAUUUUGCUAUAUAAUGUCAAAUUAGUUUUCAAAAUUCUUGUACUAGUUUAUCAUUAUAGCAGCAGUGUAUAUUCAUUCCAUCUGCUCGAGGAGAUCAGUUUAAAAAAUAUAUCUUUAGGUGAAAUUCAUAUAA